UAAGCGGAGGAAAAGAAACUAACAAGGAUUCCCCUAGUAACGGCGAGUGAAGAGGGAAGAGCUCAAAUUUGAAAUCUGGCGUGCUCAGCGCGUCCGAGUUGUAAUCUACAGAGUCGUUUUCCGUGCCGGACCGUGUCAAGUUCCUUGGAACAGGAUAUCAAAGAGGGUGACAAUCCCGUACUUGACACGACGACCGGUGCCCUGUGAUACGUCUUCUAUGAGUCGAGUUGUUUGGGAAUGCAGCUCUAAACGGGUGGUGAGUUCCAUCUAAGGCUAAAUAUUGGCGAGAGACCGAUAGCGAACAAGUACCGUGAGGGAAAGAUGAAAAGCACUUUGGAAAGAGAGUUAAACAGUACGUGAAAUUGUUGAAAGGGAAACGAUUGAAGUCAGUCGUGUCCUCGAGGCUCAGCCGGUUCUGCCGGUGUAUUCCUCUUGGACGGGUCAACGUCAGUUCUGUCCGGCGGAUAAGGGCCUUGGGAAUGUAGCACCCCUCGGGGUGUGUUAUAGCCCAGGGUCACAUACGUCGGGUGGGACUGAGGACUGCAGCUCGCCUUCAUUGGCCGGGGUUCGCCCACGUUCGAGCUUAGGAUGUUGACGUAAUGGCUUUAAACGACCCGUCUUGAAACACG
rnacentral:rRNA from 1 species